rnacentral:rRNA from 1 species
UACGGAGGGGGCUAGCGUUGUUCGGAAUUACUGGGCGUAAAGCGCACGUAGGCGGCUUUGUAAGUUAGAGGUGAAAGCCCGGAGCUCAACUCCGGAAUUGCCUUUAAGACUGCAUCGCUAGAAUUGUGGAGAGGUAAGUGGAAUUCCGAGUGUAGAGGUGAAAUUCGUAGAUAUUCGGAAGAACACCAGUGGCGAAGGCGACUUACUGGACACAUAUUGACGCUGAGGUGCGAAAGCGUGGGGAGCAAGCAGG